rnacentral:pre_miRNA from 1 species
GGAUCCAUACGGAGAGAUCUCAAUCCAACCUUAGGAAAAGAAACCUGCCAUGGAGUCUUGGAGAUUGGCGACCAUCCCAAUGACAUA